CUACGGGAGGCAGCAGUGGGGAAUAUUGCACAAUGGGCGAAAGCCUGAUGCAGCCAUACCGCGUGUGUGAAGAAGGCCCUCGGGUUGUAAAGCGCUUUCGUUAGGGAAGAAAAGUGCGGAGUUAAUACCUCCGUACUGUGACGGUACCUAAAUAAGAAGCACCGGCUAACUCCGUGCCAGCAGCCGCGGUAAUACGGAGGGUGCAAGCGUUAAUCGGAAUCACUGGGCGUAAAGCGCGCGUAGGCGGUUUGGUCAGUCAGAUGUGAAAGCCCCGGGCUCAACCUGGGAACUGCAUUUGAUACUGCCAGACUAGAGUGUAGUAGAGGGAAGCGGAAUUUCCAGUGGAGCGGUGAAAUGCGUAGAGAUUGGAAAGAACACCGAUGGCGAAAGCACUUUACUGGGCUAUUACUAACACUCAGAGACGAAAGCUAGGGUAGCAAAUGGGAUUAGAUACCCCAGUAGUCCUAGCCGUAAACAAUGGAUACUAGAUGUUGAACAGAUCGACCUGUGCAGUAUCAAAGCUAACGCGUUAAGUAUCCCGCCUGGGAAGUAUGCUCGCAAGAGUGAAACUCAAAU
rnacentral:rRNA from 1 species